GGAGAAUCGCUUGAACCUAGGAGGCGGAGGUUGCAAUGAGCCGAGAUCGCACCACUGCACUCCAGCCUGGGCGACAGAGCAAGACUCCGUCUCAAAAAAAGAAAAGUCUUGACUUUAUUUGUAGGGGCUCAGGGGAAGAUAAGAAACAUCUGCUUUAAACAUCCUAUCAAUCUUGUGAUAUAGAAUGUAAUGUAAACACUCAACCCACCCCCACAGCCACAAAGGGCCUAUCCAGAGACUUCUUCUAAAGCAAAGAUACCACCUUUUUUUUUUUUUUCAUUUUUUUCUGGACAAAUUUUAAAUAAACCAGUCUUUUUCUCAAAGGAAAACUAAAAAGCCCACCAGCCCAUCAGUCCCCUCCCUCCAACCCACCCGUCUUUAUCACUUUUUGAAAAAAAUAAGCCCCAAACAACAACAAAAACCCACACAAACCAACCCAGAAACUGCUAACCUGAACGCCAGAGAUUUUUGGCUGCGGGAGUGAAUAGACUGCAGGGAAAGAAGGGAAGAGAUGCUAGGAGGUCUCAAACUCCCCAGAUUUGCAAACAAGUGCUCAAAGGCGAAUGCUUCCCCUAGACAUGAAGGGAGGCAGGAUCAGUACUCCUGGUGGGGUGUAUGUUGGUGGGGGCUGUUUCAAAACACACUUCAAAAAGCAUUUUUGGGCCACUGGAAGCACUUGGUGCAGCGAAUUGAAAAGAAGAGAAGCCAGACAGGAGAAAGAUCUUCCAGCCUGCAGGGGAAUGGGCCAGGGGGUGGAAGCCAUUCCUCACCGGAUCUCUGCCCUCUCCCCACCAGCACACCCCGACCCCGAUUUUUUUUUCCACGUCUUCAUCUCUGUUGGGACUUUUCCAAGAGUGAGUGAAGAAGACAGGACAAAUGAGUAGGGAAAGAAAAGGGGGAAGGAAACAAAACGAAUCCAAGUCCUGUUCAAAAAUAUCCAACGGCUUCCACAGGCCCAGCGUCAGAGAGGAGGCUCACAAAUUUGGCUUUUAUAUUAGUUGAAUGGAACAAACUCCUAACGACUCAAAGCCAACAAAAACAGCGCUCAGGCUGGGUGCCUCUCCCAUCAGGCCCAGCCCUGCCAUAUCACCAAAAAACUCCAAAAGUGGGGCGGGUUUUGAAGGGCACUUAAGAAAGAGAACCCUCCCCCCAACUACACUCCCCAACACACACACACCUCAUUCUUCAGUCCUGGCGCCCACACCCCUGUUUUUUUUUCUCCUUUUUUCUUUUAAAUAGAAAAUAUAUAUAAUUAAAUUUACAAA
rnacentral:lncRNA from 1 species